AGGAUGAACGCUAGCGGCAGGCUUAACACAUGCAAGUCGAGGGGUAGGGCAGCAAUGCCUGAGACCGGCGCACGGGUGCGUAACGCGUAUGCAAUCUACCUUGUACAGGGGAAUAGCCCAGAGAAAUUUGGAUUAAUACCUCAUGGUAUAUAUCAUUCGCAUGUUUGAUAUAUUAAAGUUCCAACGGUAAAGGAUGGGCAUGCGUCCUAUUAGCUAGAUGGUAAGGUAACGGCUUACCAUGGCAACGAUAGGUAGGGGUCCUGAGAGGGAGAUCCCCCACACUGGUACUGAGACACGGACCAGACUCCUACGGGAGGCAGCAGUGAGGAAUAUUGGACAAUGGGCGCAAGCCUGAUCCAGCCAUGCCGCGUGCAGGAAGAAGCAUCUAUGGUGUGUAAACUGCUUUUGUACGGGAAGAAACACUCCUUCGUGAAGGAGCUUGACGGUACCGUAAGAAUAAGGAUCGGCUAACUCCGUG
rnacentral:rRNA from 1 species